UCUUUAUGAUGAUCCAAAAUCAGUUCUGCUUCCGAAUUCAAGGGCAAUCGCUCUGUAGUGGACAACCUUUUACCAAAAAAAAAUAUUCUGAUCC
rnacentral:snoRNA from 1 species